UACAGGGGGUGCAAACGUUGCUCGGAAUCAUUGGGCGUAAAGCGCACGUAGGCGGUUCGUUAUGUCGGAUGUGAAAGCCCUUGGCUUAACCGAGGAAGUGCAUCCGAAACUGGCGAGCUAGAGUACUAAAGAGGAUCGCGGAAUUCCCGGUGUAGAGGUGAAAUUCGUAGAUAUCGGGAGGAGCACCGGUGGCGAAGGCGGCGAUCUGGGUAGAUACUGACGCUGAGGCGCGAAAGCGUGGGGAGCAAAUAGG
rnacentral:rRNA from 1 species